GAUGAACGCUGGCGGCGUGCCUAAUACAUGCAAGUCGAGCGAACGGACGAGAAGCUUGCUUCUCUGAUGUUAUCGGCGGACGGGUGAGUAACACGUGGAUAACCUACCUAUAAGACUGGGAUAACUUCGGGAAACCGGAGCUAAUACCGGAUGAUAUUUUGAACCGCAUGGUUCAAAAGUGAAAGACGGUCUUGCUGUCACUUAUAGAUGGAUCCGCGCUGCAUUAGCUAGUUGGUAAGGUAACGGCUUACCAAGGCAACGAUGCAUAGCCGACCUGAGAGGGUGAUCGGCCACACUGGAACUGAGACACGGUCCAGACUCCUACGGGAGGCAGCAGUAGGGAAUCUUCCGCAAUGGGCGAAAGCCGGACGGAGCAACGCCGCGUGAGUGAUGAAGGUCUUCGGAUCGUAAAACUCUGUUAUUAGGGAAGAACAUAUGUGUAAGUAACUGUGCACAUCUUGACGGUACCUAAUCAGAAAGCCACGGCUAACUACGUG
rnacentral:rRNA from 1 species